ensembl:lncRNA
GGGAAAAGAAACAGUAUUUUAAAAAGUAAAAAUCUUGCAUCUAGAAGUCUGUCCUUUCCUCAGAUGUGGCUGCUGUUCAAGCACAGAGGCAUCUCUCAAGGAACUGCCAGAUAUAUCAAUGUCUCUCUACAAAUUAACAAAGUGGAGCUGUCAAUUAUUUAAAAAUGUAGAUGCAGCAAGCAGUUGGCUGUGUCUGGUAUUCCUCACAAAGAGGGGUGCCAGAAUUUCACUGGCAAAACACUUCAGCUAAGUGAUCUCAGAUGAAAAAAUGACAGCUUCUGCUAAUAAACAGUCAGGGCUAUGAGUAUAAACAUUCAUCAGUAGUCCUAGAGUGGAGGGAUCGUGGUAGUAUCUGGCUUUGCAGAGACUGUUGUGCUCUUUGCACCCUUGUGCGCAUGUAUUCCAGUCUUAAUCUGGGACAGUUACUGGAACUGGAAUGUACACAAUAAAAAGAAAGAGCAAAGGGCAUCUGCUCUUCAGAGCACAGCUCAAAUGCCUUGGCCAUUUCCUCCCAAAGUGCUAUAGCUUUGUUCCAGCAGCAGCUACAGGAAGGUUCAGCACACCCACAGCUCCCAGAGCUGGUGGAGAAGAUCAUAGGAACUAUCCCAUGUCCUUGGGUGAGCAGCAGAUGACUGGGAGAGGAGUACCAAAACCAUCACAGUGUGCUCCAUUGUGGGUUUGGUGUCUGCUGAGACGUGUCUCAAGGCACAGAGGGACUGAGGGAAGACCCUUGGGCUGGCACUUAGCAGUCAUCCAGCAAGGAGUGUGGAGCUGAGUAAUGGCAGGAGACAGAGGCAGAGAGACAAGAAGCCACAAAUCAGGUAUUCAAGUGGUGCUUCUAGGAUGCCAGAUGUGCUUCCUCCUAGGAGGAUAGAUCCAGGAAUGCAUGGGUUUACUCCAAGGAGACCAAGACAUAUGCAGCUGCAAAAGGAUUUCAAGAUCCACUCCUGUGCACUAGAGUAAGAUCAAUUAUACCUAUGUUAUUCGUGACAAAAGUUUGAUUUGGUCUUGGCUGUAGGGACCCUACAUGUGAUGCAGGGCAGUGCUGCACUACCUGUCCUAUUCAGUGGUCUCCAGAACAUCUGUUAGGAGCCUUCUCCAAGGUGAGCUGAGCCCUCCAUACUUUGUCCUCUUUCCAGGGAUGCAAAAAACAACACAUUGCUUCUCCUUGCAUUAUGAUGGCCCUUUAUGUAUUCCAGGAUUGUUGCUUUGCCCUUUCUCAGUCUUUUCAUCUCCUGAACAGCCUCCAUUUGUUCAACCUUCCCUCAGAGGUCAUGUUUUUGGGAUCAUUCCUGCUGGGCUCUCCUGUGGACUCUCUCUAGUAUUUGUGUAUUUUAUCCAGUGACUAUUGAUACAAAAUGCAGUGAUGAAAAAAGUUGCUUUUGCUGCCUGUGGAUGGUCCAAGUUGCAGAGAGAUCCAUGUGAUCCAGGGUUUCUCCACAGUUGUCUUGGCCCCCUGUCCUCUGCGUAAUGCAUGUGGUGAGGGAUUCAUACACACAUUUCACUUGCAACAACAACAAAUGCAGAGAAGGGGAACAUUUGUGAACAUCGUCUGACAUUUAAACAAGAAAGAAGUGAAAGGAUGCUUUACAGGGAGACUAUUUACGGUAACAUGCUGGAAAAAUAUAUAUAUAUAUAUUCUCCUGGCAGCCAAUCAGUCUUGCAAAAAUUUAUUCCCCUCUGCUUGGGGAAGGCCUCAGGCAAGGUCAAUGGUGACCAGAAAGCAAAAAAAUGUUGAGUUUUGGAAAGAGAUCAUACUGUAGCAAAUGGCUCUUGCAGCCCCCAGACUCCUGCUGCUCCUUGGUGGAGGAGAAAGUGAGGAUCCUUUCCCUUCCCCUGGCUACAAGACCUUGUCCCAAGUCCUGCCAUGAAGCAAGGUCUGGCAUGGGGCAAGGAGUCCGGUUCACUGCGUUCCCUGGGACAGUAAAGCUAUGGGUGCAGAGGGACAACUGGAGCAUGGAACAGCACCCUGAUGCAGGAUGCCAGCCAGUUCGCAAAGGCUAUGAGAAAUAUUUUAGUUUUGUUCUAAGAGCACUUGCUCCCUGGUUACCCUCUGGUGGGACCUGCAGCUCUUCAUGACAAGAUUUAGGAGAUGGAGUCAGUCGGGGAGGACAGGCUGAGGUUUGGGUGCUAGCUUUCACAUGUGUGCAGACAAUGGCUGAUGACCUGUCUGUUGGAAGGGCACACACCUAUAAGGACUGUGGCAAAUGUGAUGGAAAAAAAACAGUUUGAGGAAAACACUAUGUCCUUGUGGCAAUGCCAAGGACAGAAAAUGGACAAAAUUAGUUCUUAAAAAAAUUGCAGGCUCUGAUUUAUUUUCAAAUGUCAAAGGAGAUCUCAGGAAGUCCUGUGCAUUUUCUUCCUCCCUUGUUAUGCUGUAACAGUGGAUAGAAGCUGAGAUUAAAAAUGUUGCCCACAAGCAACACAGUUGUACAAUAAGGAAACUUACACUGUAAGUUAACAGAGUCAUGUUAUUUCCCAUUUUAUGCCCAACAUAAUUUGAUGCUAACCUUGUGGCAAGCAUGCAGUAAUUCUAUAAGCAGAUCCACUGCUCUCCAGAGGCUCCUUUAAAGUGAAAUAACUCCGUUUUUAAGGUUCUGUAUGUACAGGAAACAGGAAAGAAGCUGCAAGCAUUUCUCACAAAAAAAGGGAGGAAUUUUAUUUUUACUAGGAUAAAAUAUAUUGCAGAUUGCUCAUUUGUUUACUUGUUUUUUAAAAAGCAUUGAAUGCUGAAGGCACAUCCAAUAUGUCUAUAUAGCAAUGUGGUGUAGUCUGCAAGACCUUUCAGUGGUUGAAGAUGACACCAAGCUGAGCAGUGCAGUCGAUACACUGGAAGGAAGGGAAGCUAUCCAGAGGAACCUGGAUGGGCUGGAGAAGUGGGCUCAUGAGAACGGUAUGAGGUUCAGUAAGGCCAAGUGCAGGGCGCUGUACUGGGGCUGGGGCGAUCCCAGGUAUUUAUACAGACUGGGGGAAGAUCUCCUUGAGAGCAGCCCUGCAGAGAAGGACUUGGGAGUCCUGAUGGACAAGAAGCUGGACAUGAGCCAGGAGUGUGUGCUUGCAGCCCAGAAGGCCAACUAUGAUAUGGGCUGUAUUAAAAGAGGAGUGGCCAGCAAGGAGAGGGAGGUGAUUGUCCCCCUACUACUCAUUGUACCCCUCUACUUGGCCCCAUCUGGAGUACUGUGUCCAGGCCCAGGGCCCCCAGCACAAGUAAGAUGUGGAGCAGAUCCAGAGGAGGGCCACUAAGAUGAUCAGAGGGCUGGAGCACCUCUCCUAUGAAGAAAGGUUGAGGGAACUGGGCUUGUUUAGCUUGGAGGAGGGAAGGUUCCAGGGAGACCUCAUUGUGGCCUUCCAAUACUUGAAGGGAGCAUAUAAACAGGAGGGGGAAUGACCGUUUACGUGGGUGGAUAGUGACAGGACAAGGGGGAAUGGUUUUAAACUGAGACAGAGAGGCUUAGGUUAGAUAUUAGGAGGAAGUUUUUGACACACUGGAACAGGUUGCUCAAGGACGUUGUGGAUGGCAUUCAAGGCCGGGCUGGAUGUGUCUCUGGGCAGCCUGGUCUAGUAGUUGGCGACCCUGCCUAUGGCAAGAGGGUUAAAACUAGAUGAUCAUUAUGUUUUUUUUCAACCCAGGCCAUUCAGUGAUUCUAUGACUGUGUAGUUCUAUGAUUCUAUGAUUCUAUGAACGUGGCAGACACUGUCCAGAAGCAAUUCUUAUAUUUCAUAUUUCUCUCUCUGCCAUUGAUUUUAUUCUAUAUUGCUUUAUACCUUUUAUUCUGUCUGAAUUGAUUUAAUAGCAUUUUGUCUAUUUGCUUAAAACUGAACAGUAUGAGAAACAUGAAGGAAAAAUAAAUUUUUAACUUGGAGCAUUUCAGAUAAUGGCUUUUGAGAUGCCAUGAGUCUGUAUUUUGUGUACUCUCUGCAUCGCACAGAAAAGAUGUAAAGAAAGUCUGAUACGGGUCCCAGGGUAGACCGAAGUUGCACAUCUCAUGGUGCUCAGAAACUCUAUCCCCCUUUGCUCCUAGGGCAAACUAGGGCAAACUUGAGCUGCAAACUUUUCUUCCCCAGGCUACAGUAGUGCCAGGGCUUUUAGAGUCAGGUUCUGACCAGAGAAGGCGACCAAGGCGGCACAUAGCACUAGGUCUGGUAUCUUUUACAAUGAGAGUGCAUUCUUGUCACGGGGCAUGCAGUAGGUGUUGAGGAGGGGCUCAGGCAGGUGGUUGGUGGCAGCCACAUUCCCUUGGGGCUGCCCUGCAGCGAAGCUCUGGCUCUAGCAUGGGCUCUGUCUUUCAGCAACAGAGCAUUAACUUGUCACCCUCAGCCUCACUCUUUCCUGUGGUUUAAUCUGGAGCUGGGUUUGAAACACAAAGGGAAUCUUGUGUUUCAUGUUCUUCUCCCUAGUUGCCUCCCUCACUGCUGUUGCUUAUUUAUAGAGAGAUUGCUGCAGGUGAUACCUAGAAAUUGCUUACAGUCUUUAGUCUCUAAAGUAUGUUUCAAAUGGUGCUGCCUCACUGCUAUAUCUUGGCAAUGCUUACUUUGUAUUUUCCCCCAUGUCUAUCCUGCAGUUCACUUACAAAAGGUAAAUGAAUUUAUAGGGUAUCCCUCUGAAUGGAGGGACAGUAAUUUAGCAUAAUACAAAGCAUAAUUCAGGUUGGGUAUUAAGAAAAACUUCAUAAAGAGUGGUUGGGCAUUGAAACAAGCUACGCAGGGAGUUGGUGGAUUCACCGUCCCUGGGGUGUAUGACAUCUAUGUAGAUGUGAUACUGAGGAAUAUGGUUUACUGGGAAACAAUGGUGGUAGGUGGAUGGUUGGAUUAGAUGAUCUUAGAGGUCUCUUCCAACCUUAGUGAUUCUAUGAGUCUAUGAUUCUAUGAAGCAUCAGUGUGUGCAACCUGAAUCUGUACAGCUACAAAAUGACCUCAUGUUCUGUAUGUAUUGCAAAAGUGUUUGAUUUGCUUUUCUAAUUGUUUCUCCUUUAUUCUUUAGAUCAAGAGACGCUUCUAAAAGUAAAGUUUCAAAACAAAAAUGUCAAAAAGUUUCAAUCUGAAAUUGCCAAAAGAAAAUUAUUUGAAUGUAUGUAAUUUCUUUCCUCUUCUGUUCUCUUCUUUGAAUCCAGACUACAUGGGAAGUCAGGCUAAGUUUUGUACUAGUUCAUAGAGCCAAAGAAUGGUUCUACCACAUCACAAAACAUUGCAGUAGUCUGAAAAAAUUUCUCAGCUACACCCAUGCAGCAUUGUGUUCAUUGCUGAUGAAUUUCUCAAAGCUGCCUUGACAAAUUCUAUUGUUAUUCAUUAUUUACAUUAGCGCCUGUGAGGUUAUAGGUUUUGUCUGGCAAAAUAGUAAAAAACAGUAAAUAUAGCCUUUGUCUCUGAAACUUCACCAUUUUCAACAUCCAUGAGGGAUUUUGAUGCAUGAAAUAACUCAGUUUUGCUGCUCUGUCUGGAGUAGCUCAUUAGUUAAUUCCUUGAGUGAUGUGCGUAAAAUGGUGCAGACUAUGGAUGGGACUGCAGGCAUGGCUCCUGAGGAACCACCACAUAAUAUUUAACAGAUUUAGAUCUCCUCACUAUCAUAGUAUCUCCAGUCUCAAGUAGUCACAUGAAAGACAAAAUGAAUGAGCUAUAAGAAAUUCACACCAUGCAGCAUUGCUAUAAGUAAUAAAUCUCCUGCGGAAAAGGAAUUUGUAUAGAAAUAAUAAAAGUAUCAGAUGCUAAGAAGAAGUAAAACCAGCUGGGUAAUAUAAAAGAAAAUCUUUAUCCUCAUUUCACUGGUGAAAACUAAUUCAAACAAAAUCCAUUACAUAAAUCAUACACUUGAAAUUAUUUACAUAAAAACAGAUGGAGAGAGUUCCUACUGUGAUGAUGAUGUUUUGGCAAAGUAUGUCUUCCACAGAGCAACUAUCUUUCUGCAAACAAUGGUGUUUGUUCUGCUUUCGUCAGGGUGUAAACCUCUGGCAACCCUUGAAUUCUGUGGGGGCUCAUGUACAAAGCAGGGCACAGCCUGUUUCACUGCCAUUUUUGUGGCUACAGAAAAGUGAGGCUCUAAAGAAAAACUGUACUUCAUGCUGCCCGUGUUCUGGGGCUGCUGCAGCACAUGCUGUCUGUUUUACAGGAACAGAAUAAUUCCACCAUCUCCCUGGGCAGCCUGUUCCCACACCUCACCACUCUUUCUGAGAAGUUGUUCAUCAUGUAACAAAGACAUUUUUGAUGACUAUUUGAAAAGACUAAGUAAGUUAGGCAGACCACAUUGGGAAUGGGAAUUGAAACACACUGAACCACAUUGGGAAGUGAAAAACAUACUUCUGCGUAUACCAAUGCAGAGACAAGGUGCUGACCCCUAUAUACAGAUGAUCCCAUGUGCUCUUCAGCUCAUAAACGAGGUUCAGCGUGCAGGGUUUGGAACUCUUUGCCUUUUCCUGAUUGCUCUCCCUCUUCUUAGAAGAAAUAUCAGUGCAAUUUCCACCUCAGUUCUUGGUGUUUCUAGCUCAUUGCAUGACCUCCCUUCCAACAGCUCCACUACUCCCAUGCUACUUCUUCAAUUGCUGUUAAAAACAGCUUCAUGUUCAAAACAUACUAUUCCUGUCAAAAUAUUAAUUUCUUCCACAUGAUGGAAAAAUAUAAGCUGUCCCUUUAAAAAUGCAUCAUAAAAAUGAACGUUCAUGAAAUAUGAGUCAAGUUUCCAUAUACCUUAAUCAAAUUCUAGAGGGUCUCUAGGGGUUGGGACCUUCCGUGCACCUGUGCAAUGUGAAGUUUGUUCCAGUUCUGAUUGCAAGUAUUUCAUAGUAUAGUAUAGUAUUGCUUCCUUCAUUUUUGCCAUUGAAAACCCCAAGAUGCUUUCUGCAGGCUGAAGGUGCCAUUUUUGGGGGUGACAGUGAUAAGCCGUAGAGAUGGUGUGGCAUACUAACUAUCAGACUUGGAACCAGCAGAGUCCUCAAGCCAAAUAUCAGUCUUGAAAUCCCCAGAACAAAAUGUACCUGCCUUUCUCAUUCCCUGUUUUUUUUCCACAGGGAAAUAGACAGGACCAGGUUUGCAUGAGCUAUAGAGUUUGCCUGUAAAAGCAAUACUGUGAUUGGGUAUCACAGUUUUUAACAUGCUUUUUUUUUUUCUUUCCUUUUUUUUUUUUGUUAAUGAAUAAACUAAUUCCUGAACUUGCUCAUUUUUCCCUCCUUUCUUCUCUUCUGCUCCCCACCAUUACCACUGCCCAUGCUGUUGGGUCUGCACAUGACAUUUAUGGUCGUACACAUGGUUCGUACAGACCUUUCUUCCCAUUCAGAGCACCUUUACCCAUACCUACAUUUCCCAUCAAGAAGCUCAUUAAUUUUGUGCUCUUUGCUCUACCUUGGUAUUCCCAGUGAGCUUGUCUCUGCAGCCAGGGAACUUCCUUUCUCUGGGGCCCUGGGAGUCUUUUUGGAGCUGCUCUAGCAGGGCAUUUCCAUGGAAGGCUUCGUCUGGUGCACUGGAUUCCUACUACCAUUUCCCUGGGGAGGAUUCCACAGACUAAUAGACCUCAUUAUUAGAGCAUUUUUCCUAAUUUUCUGCCUAAAAUUACCUUUAUUUUUUGCUGUCUCAGGAAAACUUCUUGGUUGUGUGUGUCAAAUGAAAGAGAACAUCAAUAUUUUUAGCAUUUGUUAAUAGCCAAAUGCUGAUAAAGACAACUGGUGCCUUUUAAAUCAAGCAUCUGCUGUCAACAGUCAUCUGAGUCUUAGAAUUUAAAAAAAAAAAAAAAAAAGGCUUUGCUGAUACUUCAGAUGGGUUUCAUUUCACAUUGCAAAGUUGCCAAGGUCACGUGGAAAGGGGACUUGUUGUAGAAUUUAGCAUUUUUACACACUUGGAACAGUGUUUGAGGAAAGGAAAGAGGGAGAGGCAUAAACUGGGGACUGGGCCACAGAUGUCUGCUGGGGUCCACAAAGUGUGUGUGCAUCAUCUGUGAGCUAUUAAGCUCUCAUAGCUUUUGCCAUCUAAUAUCCUUGUUCAGGAAUGUACAUACUCCAAAAUAAAUUAGAUGGGGAUAUGGUAUCUUGUAUCUGUUUUAACUCAUCUGUCUCUGCAGAAGGAAAUUCACCAGUCCUGGUGUUCACAUCCUCCCAGCUGCCCAGAGGCAGUGACAAGAGCAUCUGAAGCAGCAUCCACCGCUGUGUAGAGGGAGAGAUGAGUGGUGAGCAUUCAUCUGCAGGGUGAGUGCCUGUGGGCACUUGUGGUCCUUAUGGACAUUAGUAUGGCUUCCAGGACCUUGAGUGAUCUGCCCUGUUUGCUUGAAGUUUGCCACUGACUUUCAGAGCAGCCGGGGAAAGGGCCUAGGGCCCUUAAAGCACUGCAACCCCAGCUGGGGGCACCUGGGAAGGUGCUGCAUCCUGCUCCCAGUUAAUGCUGGUAAGGGAUUUCUCGGGCAUCUAUCAGGCUGAAAUUGUGUUGCUCGGACUAAACAUAUUAAAUGAAUUACAGCAAAUUAGCUCACGUUCUGUGGUGACUUGAGGCCUAGCAAUGAUAGUUAUUAGAGUAUUUAGCUACCGCUUUGUUGAUUCAGUGUGCCUUGCAUGCAAAAAGUCUCAUCACAGGGGACUUCUCUAUCUCAAACAGGUCCUGAUUGCUGGGUGAAAGGGACAGGCAUGCAGCUACACCAUGGUCCAGCAGACACAGCCCAGGAGUCCACAGUAAGUGAUUCUGCAGGGGCUCUAGAAACACAAGCAGCUGCUGAGGGUCCUCCAGAGGAUGAAGAAAAAUCCUGAGAUGCUGAAGGAAGCUUUGAUGCAGAGGAUCUGCUGAUGGAUGCAUUAAUACAAGUGGAAAUAAGGCCUGUUAAAUCUUGCCUGAGCAGUUUUGGUAAGUGGGUGCUCUUCCCCUUGGAACGCAUGCAGAAGCAUCCUCUCUGUGGGGAAGGGUGAUCACAAAGAAAGCCACUGUUUCUGGCACUGCUCACCAAGGUUUAUUAGUGUGUAUCCUUUGAGGGCUGUGAACAUCUGCAGAGGACUGGAACUGCACAGCUGAGCACAUGGUCUCAAACCUGAUGUUUCCACGGGCUAAACAGGACAAGCGGUGAGCAGAUACCAAAGUUUUGAGUGCCACUGUCACAUGCUUACCUGCUUUUCCAAAAGACCAUGUCUUGCAAAGUCAGGAUGGAAAAUGCAGGAGUAUUUUGGCUUCUGGAAGCAUUUUUCUCCCUUGAGAGCUUUUCACCUUAAGCUACUCAUUCAGUAACUGGAGGACUGGCAGAGGCUGCCCAGAGUACUCUGUUCUGGAUGGCCCUGCUGGGGCUGGGGUUGUGCCAGACGUGCCAGGGCACUGCUACCCUCAGCUGUUCUGUGAUGUUGUAAUGGCUAAAUCAGUUGUAAGCAACUGCUAACAUUUAACCAUUCAUGUGAAAUGAGUGUGGGUCUCCAUCCCACUACCACUGCCAGUUUACCACCUCCCAGAUGGUACCAUCAGUGCUGCUUACAGUUGGCCAACAGCUGUUGCUGAGGUUGCCUUUCUGAUCUUGGAAGAGGUCUAGGCUGCAUGAAUUUUGCACUGUCCUCCAAUUUUACAUACUCCCAAGUGCCCUGUUUUGGCUGGAAAACCUGAUGGUCUAGCCCUUCUGAUGGCAACCCUGUGUGUUACAAGGGGAGGGAGAAAAGGGUUUGCAACCACAUGAUGAGAGCUGAGGGAAUGAUGAGUGGAAAAUCAGUUUAAUUGUCAUUAUUCUUUUUUAUUUGUCUUCUUGGAAAUAAGACAAAUGCUGUCCUUUCCCCUUUUUUCUUUUGGCUAAUAUUAGGCAUAUAAUACAGGCUGAAUACAUAAUUUUAUAAAGACUCAACACUGCUUGAUUAGUGUUAUUUGGAUCACAUUUUGAGGUUAUUAUCACAAAAUGGACUGGUUUUUCUGUGUAUUAAUUUUAAUGAUGAUGUUUUCUCUUGUGUAACUUCAACUAAAGAGAAAGGCAUCCUAAUGUUACCAUCUACGGAGAAAAGAAUCGUACAAAAGUUGGCUAAUGGAACAUUUCACUCCACCUAUUAACUCAAAAAAUAGAAGUCACAUGUUUCCAUUUACAAGUAUUUUAGUGAAAAGGCAUUAAGUGAAACAUUUUGUCAUCAAACAAUGUAGCUGAGCAUGUACCUUCUCAUGGCGUGGUGGGCCUCAGAUGUUUAUCAUUUCAUAGAAUCAUAGAAUAAUUUCAGUUGGAAGGAACCCUCAAAGGUCAUCUAGCUCAACUCCCCUGCAAAGAACAGGGAUACCUACAACUAGAUCAGAUUUGCUCAGAGUCCUGUCCAGCCUGACCUUGAAUGUCUUCAGGGACCGGGCAUCCACCACCUUUCUGGGCAAUCUGCCCUAGUGCCUCACCACUAGUAUUGUAAAAAUCUUCUUCCUUAUAUCCAAUCUAAAUCUCCCUUCUUUUAGUUUGAAACCAUUUCUCCUUGUCCUGUCACAGCAGUCCCUGUUUAAAGAGUCUGUCCCCUUCCUUAUAGCCCCUUUUUGAUACAGAAAAGCCACUCUCAGAUCUCUUGGAUUCAGAUCUCUUUUCAUCCCUUGGGCCAUUUUUGUGGCCCACCUCUGGACAUGCUCCAACAGGUCCAUCUCUCUCAUGAGGAUUUCUGUACUGAGGACUGCACAUCUAGAUGCAGUACUCCAGGUGAGGCUUCACCAGCUUCAGUAGAGGCUUCAGUAGAGAGGCAGGAUCACCUCCCUCCCCCUGGUGGCCAUACUUCUUUUGAUGCAGUUCAGGAUACAGUUGGCUUACUGGGCUACAAUGGCACACUGCUGGCUCAUGUCCAUCUGGUCAUCCCCAAGUUCUUUUCAUUUUGUAUUGUUUAGAAAUACAGUGAUAUAAAUUUGGGUCAUAGAAGGGCUCUGAGUGUUUGGAAGAGUUACCUUUGGACCUGCACAGGGCUCCUAUGGUAAGAAGGACCCUGAAGGUUUGGCUCUGGGCAGCUGGGUUUCUGCUUCAUGCUGUGGUUAAUUACAACAUGUCCUCAUGUGCUCCCGGGGGUGUGCAGAGCCAGGAGCUCAGAUUUCCUCCCCAAACACCUCUUUGUGGUGCUACUGCCAGAACUCCCUGCAGCUCAAUGUUCAUUCUGAGAAAAGGCUCUGCAGCAUGAUGAAGGGCUUUGCGGAAAAUGAAUGUCAUCAUUAGUGACUCCAGGACUGCAUUUUGGCUCAGAAUUGUGCAAUUCUAUUUCAAGGUUAACAGCUAACUUAAUCUGGGUGGAUGUUUGUCCUCAGAACAGCUAGUUUCUCCUCAAAAUAAUCUCUCCAUUCUUUUCCAUCCUGAGAAACACCACUCAGGUCCCCAGGUGUGAGAGCUGACACGGAAAGGUUGUUCAACAAAUUACAUUUGGCUGAUCUGAAAUUCCAAAAUAAGGCAAAUAGUGCAGUAGGUCUGAGCAGAGGUCAGGCAUCAGCUUCCUCUAGUGCGUAUAUAAAGAGCAGCUUGUGUUCCUCACAGCCAGUGAGAAUCCUGCUCUGAGCAUGUCACAGGAGGAAUUCACAAAAUGACAGUGCUUUCCCAGGCCUUUACUCAAAUUUAACCUUUGGAAAUUUUUUUCCCUAUUUUGUUCCUCACGUCACAAUGUGAAAUUAUAAUACAACUUACACCUUAAAUAAAUAUAUGUGUAAAAUCUCAAAAAGCAGUGCAUAUGUGCAAGGUAGAUCUUUUUUGUGUUUUUGUUGUUGUUUUCCCUUGAUUCAUACCUUAAAAGGUUUCCUUUGUGAACAGCUUAGGAGUUUUAAACUGGAAGGCCAGCUUACAACCAAACUGUGAAAUAUAUGCAGCAUAGAUGUAUAUUCACCUUCAUGGCUAUUUCACAAGGUGGAGGCUGUGUCCCUUUCUGACAGCUUGGUAGAAAGCAUAUCCUUCAUGUGGAAGUUUGAUGGUGAUAGAAUUGAUGAAUGUUUCCACUGAUCCUGAAGAUGGGUUGCAGGCUCAGAUGCAAUGGGGUUAUGUUCAGUGCUAAAUUCCCAUUGGGAGGGCUGGGAAGGGUUUCUGCAGUCUCUUUCUCCAUCCCAAUCAGGAUCACCUGUACCUGGUGUGUUCUUGGUUCAUCUGGCUUUCGUCUAAACUGUCUGUUGGGCUGAAAAAAGUUUAUGGGGCAAUUUAUCGCAUGGGUAGUUACCCAUUCUAUUAAAUAGCCUGAGUCAUUGCUGUUGAAGUGACAACCCAUCUUGUUGUGUCCCACAUGAGCUUAAUCCCAUUCCUUUUGGCAGUGAGCUUUUACAGGCAGUCAUCCACCCCUCCACCUCCUCUACUUGAUUCGAUGAUUCUGUAAGACUGGAGCAUUGGAAUGGGCUGCCCAGGGAGGUGGUGGAGUCACUGUCCUUGGAGAUGUUCAAGAAAAGGAUAAGUGUGGUACUGAGGAACAUGGUUAGUGGGUAUGGUGGUGAUGAGUCAGCAGUUGGACUAGAUGAUAUUAGAGGUCCAUUACAACCUUAUUGAUUAUAUGAUUCUAUUCUAUGCUUGGGGCUUUGAACCCCUCUGAAGUUCCUGCAGGUUUCACAUGUUCUUUGUCAGUACUUAGGACUGCAGCCUCCAAACAGCCUAACCAGGGAAACAACACUGCAAAACAAAUCCCAGCUUGUCCACUGCAGGUGCAAGGCUGACACAUCCCCAUCUCUUAAUGCUAUGGACUGAGCCAAAGAAGCUCCAGGGUGCCAAUACCUAAGGAAGGUCUGCAGGUGUUGUACUGAGAUGGAAAUGCCCUGUGCAUCCAAAGGUGAGAGCCACACAUCCCACUGGUCCCCUGAAGGAAGAAGCAGUUACUCCUGAGCCUUGCAUUGUCUCCCAAGUUCUCUCUACAACGCAGAACAUUGACAUCUUUCCAAAACACAGCAGAAAAAAAUGGAUAUUAAAACAGGUAUUUUAAAAGCAAUCUUACUCUUUAUUUUUUGGUGGAGUUCUAGUUACAUGCUACUCUUAGAUGCGAUCCAUUUUCUAAUAGGUCAAAAGUCUCAUGGGAAUCAGGCAAGAAACUGUGACAAGAACUAAAAUUAUCUCUACUGCUCCCUUGCACAGAUGGUGCUUUUCUGAAGCUGAGUGGGGUGAAACUGGUGAACACUGUGGGUGCAAGCUGAGGCUAUUCUGGCAAGAACCCCUGCAGAGUUUUGCUAUAGGCAGCUUCUGAUCACAGGGGUUCACCAAGACGUUCAUCACCAUGCCAAGGGCAGUGUCUGUAGGGGGGAAAUGGAAAGAAGCUUGGAACUCUUAAAUAGUUUCAGCACAAAAAAAGCUUCUACUGACAGCUGCUGAAACACAGUCUUUCAAACACAGCGAUGAACUUGAGUGUCUAGGAUUUUAAGCUAAUUAAAAUAGAACUGGAUGGAAUUAAUAUAAACAUAGCUUCAAACCAGGCCAAGGAAAACAAAACCCCAUGCAGGCUGACCUGAUGAAGAUUGUGGAAUACAGGUGCCAUUCAAUUUUCUGGAAUAGCAUAUUAUUUUUUAUUCUGAUGUUGAUAGGAAAAUAAUUUACAGACUCUCUCAGUAGGUUAUGUUGGAUUUCAUUCCGGUGUCUCCUUUUGCAAUAAUGCUAAUGGCAAAAGAAAUGCACAUUGAUAUUGUUUUAGCUGCAGCAGAAAUGCCAGGGAACUCAGAUCUGUGCUAUCACCUCGUCAGUGGGCAAAUUACUAAAUCGGAAUUUUAUGAAAUUACUCAAUAUUUGUGCAGACAGCUUCCAGGAAAAAGCACUUGUGUCUAUUUAGCUCUAGUGUGUAACAGAUGGGUAGAGACAAGUUAUUUCUUUGUAGCCAGACUCAUACUGACAUUUUAAGACAGCUUUCCUUAGGUGCUCAUUAGUUCUUGUAAGCCAGAUAUUAAAUCUUACCUUAGAGCAAAAUUCAGUCAUAUAAAAGGCCUUCAAGCAAUGUUGUAGUGUGUUACUUGCAAGAAAAUUAAAUGUAACCCAUCCUUUCAAAAUUGUAUUUCAUUUUAGCUUACAGCAUUUAGAUGUUAGAAGUCAGUUAUUUAUCUAUUAACUUUAAGCUGUUUAGGAACUUUAAGCUGUUCAAGGAAUUGUUGACCAAGAUCUCCUAGGACGCUGUCCUUAAAGACAAAGAUGCUGAGGAAAACUGGCUACUCUUCAAGGGUGCCUUUCUGAGAUCACAAGAGCUCUCCAUCCGUCUGAAUAAGAAAGCAGGAAGACAGGGCAGGAAACCAGCAUGGCUCAGCAAGGACCUGCUGGGCAAACUGGGGGGAAGGAAAGGCACAUACAAACUUUGGAAACAAGGGUGUGUCACCUGGGAAGAAUACAGGGAUGCCAUUUGGACUUGCAGACAUGGGAUCAGGAAAGCCAAGGUGCAGGCAGAACUGAACUUGGUGAGGGAUGUGAAAAACAAUAUGAAGACAUUCUACAGGUACAUUGGCCAGAAGAGAGAGGCCAAAGAGAGUGUAUCCUUUGGUAAAUGUAAAAGGAGGGCUGGCUUCAACAGAUGGAGAGAAGGCUGAGGUACUGAAUAAGUUCUUUGCCUCAGUCUUCACUGGCAGCCAGGACUCUAAUAUUUCUCACAUCCCUGAACCCUGCAUCCCUAAACUUCUAGGUGGGGACCGGGUGAGUAAAUCCCCCCCCCCCCCACUGUAAGGACAGAGCAAGUCCGAGACCACCUCAUGAGACUGAAUGCGUACAAGUCUAUGGGGCUGGAUGGCAUGCAUGGAUGGCAGGGUUCUGAAGGAGCUGGGUGAGGUGGUUGCUGAGCUGUUCUCUAUCAUAUUUGAAAAGUUGUGGCUGUCAGGUGAGGUCCUGGAUGACUGGAGGAAGGGUUGCAUCACUCCCAUUUGUAAGAAUGGGAGCAAGGAGGACCUGGGGAACUACAGGCCGGUGAGUCUCACCUCUGUACGUGGGAAGAUCAUGGAGCAGAUCCUCCUGGACGACAUGCUUGAUUACAUGAGGAAUGAGCGUGUGAUCCGAGACAGCCAGCACGGCUUCACCAGGGGAAGGUCAUGCCUAACCAAUCUGGUGGCCUUCUAUGGUGGAGUGACGGCACUGGUAGACAAAGGGAAGGCGACUGAUGUCAUUUACCAGGACUUAAGCAAGGCUUUUGACAUGGUCCCCCACCACAUCCUUAUCUCCAAAUUGGAGGGAUGUGGAUUUGAUGGGUGGACCACCUAAUGGAUAAGGAAUAUGUUGAAAGGCCACAGACAGAGGGUGGUAAUUAAUGGUUCUAUGUCCAGGUGGAGGCCGUUAAUGAGUGGUGUCCCCCAGGGGUCUGUCUUGGGACCGGUGCUCUUUAACAUCUUCAAGAAUGACAUCGAUAAUGGAAUUGAGUGCACCCUCAGCAAGUUUGCUGAUGAUACCAAGCUGAGUGGUGUUGUCACUGUGGAAUGAAGGGAAGCCAUUCAGAGGGACCUCAACAGACUUGAAAGGUGGGCCCAGGUGAAUCUAAUGAGUUUCAACACAGCAAAGUGCAAGGUUUUUGCACUUGGGCCGGAGGAAUCCCAGGCAUAUAUACAGACUGGAAGGAGCAGUCCUUGCGAGUAGCCCUGCAGAGAAGGACGUGGGAGUCCUGGUGGAUGAAAAACUUAACAUGAGCCAGCAGGGUGCUCUUGCAGCUUGGAAAGCAAGUGGUAUCCAGGGCUCCAUCAGUGGAGGGGUGGCCAGCAGGCACAGGGAGGUGACAGGACAGCAGCCCUCUCUACUCUGCCCUUGUGAGGCCCCAUCUGGAGUACUGUGUCCAGGUUUGGAGUCCCCAGUACAAGAAAGCUGUUGGAGAUGGUCCAGAGGAGGGCCACAAAGAUGAUCAGAGGGCUGGAGCACCUCCCCUAUGAAGACAGACUGAGGGAGCUGGGCUUGUUCAGCCUGGAGAAAAGAAGGCUGCAGGGUGACCUAAUUGCAGCCUUUCAGUACCUAAUGGGAGCCUAUAAACAGGAGGGGAGUCAACUCUUUGAAAGGGUAGAUAACAGCAGGACAAGGUGAAAUGGUUUUAAGUUGAAACAGAGAAGAUUUAGGUUGGAUGUCAGGAGGAAGUUCUUUACUAUGAGUGUGGUAAGGUCUGGAACAGGCUGCCCAGAGAUGAUGUGGAUGCCCCGUCCCUGGAGGUGUUCAAGGCCAGGUUGGAUGGGGCCCUGGGCAGCCUGUUCUAGUAUUAAAUGUGGAAGUUGGAAGCCCUGCCUGUGGUGGGAGAUGUUGGAGAUUCAUGAUCCUUGAGGUCCUUUCCAACCCAGGCCAUUCUGUGAUUCUGUGAUAUUCUUCUACUGCAAUUCUUCCACAAAUCGUGGGUCAGAGCACUCUGACAGUUAUCACUGACAAAUAGGACAUCUUCUCUUCUUAUUGCUACUCCGAAGAGCAGCCUUGGGAUGGACCAACAAAGAGGAAGCAGGACAGAGUCCCUCAGGCUGAGCCUUCAAGUCAGAUUGCAAGUGAUGGAUGGCUGACAGAUGAAGCUGCAAGAGAGACUUUUCCCUGUGGGGCCACCAACAGCACAGGCAGACCCUGCAUCUUCUCCAGCCUCCAUCUACAGCUGUGUUCCACCAAAGCUGUCCAGGUCGGAACUUCUCCCUCCAUGGCAAUGCAGGUAAAGGUGGGAGAAUUCCACAACUCUCCAAACCACCCCACCACUCUGGUCUACAGCCACAUUGCACAGAGAAGUAAGGUAGGUGCUGGGAUCUAAAUAGCAUUUUCUCUUUGUGAUGCCAACCAUUUCCACUCACUUCAAGAUCUUCUCAGGCUUGGAAAUGUGUGGCUCUGUACGUGUUCCUUUCCCAUCCUUUCCAGGCCAAAAUUCCUGAUUAGCAGUGAUUGCUUACAUGAGAGUUCUAGCUUUUUAGUGGUAAAAUGCAAUUAUCUGUUGUUUCACACUUGUUUCUGAAAUGUUGUGAGCACGAGGGAAAAAAAGAGGACAACCCACUUCAGAAAUUAAUGGCAGUCAGCUAAUGUAAAUACAAUUUCCCAGCAUAUCCCUAAGCACUGCAUAUCAGACAUCAGUGAUUUCAGAUGAGUCCUUAAUCUGAAUUCAUCUUUGUUGGGGUUGGUAUGUUAACCAUACACUCUGUUGACUUUUAAUGUGUGAGAAUAACAUUUCUAGAGGUAUAUUCCACGUUCUGAUAUCAUCCUGAAAGCAAUUAUAUAGUGACUUAAACAUUCACUUAAAAGUCCUAGCUUCGUGAUAAAGAGUUUCUUGUUGGAAAAUGUUUAUGAAGUGACUCAGUACAAUUUACUAUCCAUGGAUGAACUACUUCUAACCCCCCCAGCAGCUUGCAUUUCUCACUACCACUGCACCCAACACAGCUGAGACGUUAAUGAGUGAUGAACAGCUUCUCUGUAACAUCAGUUCUGCCCCUUCUGAGUUAUGCUUUCCUUGUGGGGAGAGGUGCACCAAAGUGCUUUUGAAGUGUUGCUGCAACCUUGCAGUAGGGGAGAAUGGUUUUGAAAGCUGGUGUCACGAGUGCAGCGACUUGAUGCUGGACUCAGAUGUGAACGAUCCAAAUCGUUUAUUACAAGUUCUCACCUCGCUUAUAUACCUUCACAAGUUUUCUAGCUUUAUCAUCCACCCCUACAACUUUCCCAUCCACCUUUACAUGUCAACAGAGCAUUCUACACUCUUCAACCAUUCAUGUGGGUGCUUAUCCAAUCAGAGCCGUGAGCUAUUCUUUCUUCUUCUAGAGGUGUCCUUGGUUCUCAUGAUGUUUAUCUUGCUCCACAGCUGCUGCUUCUGAACAGUUUUUCUUGUAUUCCCACAAACAAGCAUGGUGUAGUGCACCAGACAUGUCUGUGCAAUAAAUAAAUAAAUAAAUAAACCCAGCCCAAAUAUUUAGUUUUGUUUUAUGAAAGGAUUGUGAAAGAGGAGCUCUUCUGAUCAGCAGAUAGUUUCACACACAUUUCUCAUCAGCCACAGUGGAAUGCUCAAAAUAGGAUCAAUUUUGGUGAUGUCUCACACCAGAAAAAUUCUUGCAGAAUCCUCUCACUGUUUUACCAUCAUUCUAGCCAGAUUAAACAAACCAAAUCCUCAUGGGGGUUCAACAAGCACAUUUACCCACCAGAGUCCAUGCAGGGUACCUCUCUUCUCUAAGGAGAAGGUCGAUUCUAAAAGAGAGAAGAUCCUCCAGUGGCAUCUGCUUCAUCUCCCUUCUACCCCCCUCUGUGUAUGGAAAAGAAACACAGAAUCAGCUGAAGACUGGAGGGCUCAAAUUUUAUACACAUCUCUCCAAAAUGGAGAACAAUUUCAGUGUGGGUAUUUGAGGUCAUCUUGUGUAAUUUUCUACUUGGAUAGUAUAUAAGUAUGCAUAACACUCUGCAGCUAAGCCCCCUAAGAUUGCUUUGGUCUUGAUGACCUAAGGAUGUAACUGAGACAAGAUCUGCAAGAAUGCACUUCUCUAUAAAAUAGCUUAUUCUCUCCUCACAAAUACUGCCACCUCUGUAGAAAUGUUACUAACCUCUGCUGAGCUCCAGUGAGUACUCCUGCAGAAGUACUUCCUGCCUUCUCCCUCUGACCCAGGCAGCAGGCAAGAUUCAGAAAAUGGGCUUGGUUUUAAUUUAAUUUGAUGAGAAGGAACCUUCUGUUAUGGAUAUAGCAAUAGCAGCACAAACUGUACUGUGAGCACAUCACUAUUUUCCUUUGCUUAGGGAGCUGGAUUCUGCUUUUUUUUUUUUUUUUUUUUUUUCCCAUGAAUCUAAUCUGGAUUUGUCUUUUAAAACAGCAUAUUUCUGUCACCUGUCUCUCUUCUUUUAAUAGCCUAUCUUCGAAAGAGUGUCUGCACACACAGGAAAAAUCACUAUGCAUUUAACAUAAAUGGGACUGCAUACUACACAAACUGCUGAUACAUUUCCAGACAUAGACUGAAAAAAAAUUUAUGAUACCCCUUACACAGCUCCAUACAAAUAUUUAUGCAUAGCCUGUAUUUUACAAACCCUUAUCCUUGUGCUGCAGGUCCUUCCAAGCCACGUGAAGUUAAUGUGGUGUCAGACAUGUCUGUGCUCAGGGCAUAAGAAGCCUUUGUGGACUCGUCUCCAGGAGGAGCAGCCCUACCCCAUGGGGUCUGCCUGCCAUGAAGCCUCCCUGUUUUCUCUGCAAUAAUUGUAACUGGACCCUUUUCUAUGUGAGCUGCUUAUCUUCCAUCUGAGGCCCAUUAGGCAGCAUACACAGAGAAUGUGUGAAGUCGGUGCUUGGCCGCCUUACUGCUUCUCGUUUUGGUGUGUGUAGAUGAGGCGAAGGCAGUUUCUGAAUUUCUGCCCCUCAGUGGGCUACAGAAGGGGAGCAGUGAGUCCCUGGGCUACUCCUGCACUGGCAACGUUUAGCAAGGGUCAGUGCCAAUUUGUGGUCAUGCCUUCGUGUCCUGUGCUUGUUGGGUUUUAUUAAUCAGCACUUUGAAAAGGCAGCAGUGGGGUUAUAGAACAUUACUGAAUUCUCGUGGAGGUAUUCAUUUAUCAUUGGCAAGCUUGAUGUUUCACAUAACUGUUACUUCAUCAUAUUCUGUGGUUGGACUUGAUGAUCUUUAAGGUCUUUUCCAACCUGAGCUAUUCUAUGAUUCUAUUAUUCUAUAUAGCAUUUAGUUAAAUGUGUUUUAAAAACCAGCCAUGGAUCCCAUGUUACCAGUGGUAUAAUAUAGAUCCAUGCCUGUCCAAGCAAGCAGCCCACUGCGUGAGUCCAGUGACGAGACAUUUAUGUGCACAGGGUACCUGCUGGGCCAAAGCCAGCAUUUAGGUGCCACUUUCCACCAAGUCUAGGGAAUUUCUCAGUUGCCCUUUUCAGCAAUGUUUUUACAGUCUUUUGUAUGGUAGCAACAGCAUUAAAGGGUUGCUAAGUGCGGGGGGAGGAGAACAGAAGGGUGGAAGUGACUACUUGCAGCUCUCCAUGCCUCUUCCUGGGAUCCAGAGGAACCAGCAGUGCUGCUCACAUUCACACAUGUGCCACCACACGUCUACAACCACACAUCCUCAAGUUAAGGACAGACACUGAAUUCCUUUCCAGUUCAAGCACUGUCAGGUAAAAAAUUGAGCUUUAUGUAUUUGAAUCAUGGACUCAUUUAGGUUGGAAAAGGACUACUAAAAGUCCACCACUAAACCAUGGUCCUAAGCACAACAUUCAUACUUGUCUUAAAUAUCUCCAAGGAUAGGGACUUCCCUGUGCCGCCUUUCUCAAUGCAUAACCACAUUGUGCAGAAAGGAAGAUCCUUCCUUUUUCCUAAAGAAGUUCUCUUGCCCCAGGAUUUCAUCCCAGCACUUGGCUCUUGUGGAGACAGCAGGAAAUGUUCACCGCAUUCUUUAAGGGGGAAACUGAUGACAGUGUUAUUCUCUGUGCACCACAACUCAUGUUUCUGGGUACUGCUAUUCUCAAAACUCUUCAUGCCAGUAAGAGCAUAGGAGCAUGUUUUAUUUCCUUGAUGAGCAAAUGCAACCCUUUGAGCUGGGAAUCUCAAAGGUAGCUCCACAAGAACAAGGCCUUGCUGAAUACUAAUGAAGUAUUUGCCAAAGUACAUGCAAUCCAUGAGCUGUGAUUUACCACUGGUCACUUUGAGAUAGUUUAUAACGAGAUAAAUGAGAAAAAUAAUGUCUCCUUUAAUAAGGUAUAGUGCAGAAAACUAUUUAAGCUGAAAAGAGAUUGGGUUUGCUGAUUGUGUACUGCAUGCAGCCUCUUGAAAACUGGGCUUUCUGUCCCGCAGGGCAUUCCAAUGCAACACUUGGUUUCAUCUGUAAUUACAAUGAACUUUCUAAAUGUCCAUUUCCCACAGAGUCGAAAAAUUUGAAGAAAAACAUGAUUAAAAAAUGGUCAGGAAUGACCUAUGACAUUGUCACUGUCUGGCCCUGCUAUGGCUUCACGUGUAAAUUCGGUUGCACAUGUGGUCACUAUCUCUAUUGCAGGACCCACAGUAAGCAGGUAAAUGCUGUCAACUGCCACAUCUAUAUCAAACUGUGUUUUUGGACAAGUACUGGAGGGCACGACAUCUGAGGUUCAUUUGCUAUGCUCCCUUUUCAGCCACAAAGUGAUUGAUGACUUUAGUGUUUACCUUUAUACAGUGAGGAGUAGGAGUUAUGUUGGCUAUACUGUUACUUCGCAGUCUUAAUGGAACCAUACUCACAAUUAAUAAGGAAUAACUACCUUGCACUUUGGUCACAGACUGAAAUGGGAGAUUUUGGUAGCAGCAACCAAAGAAAAUGUUGGCAGUGAAUGCUGCCUUUGGACUACUUCUGCCCAAUCCAGGCUACUGUGAAUAGAUUUUUUCAAUAGCUAGAGCAUUAAAAUAUUCAAAGCAAUGGCAAUAUAUUUUAUUAAAAACAGUGCAUUGCUUGGUAGGGCAGAAGGAAAUAAUGGCUCAGGGGUCUGGGAAUGGAAGAUGGAACCAUUUACAUCUAAGUCACCCUUUCACAUCUAGCCAAGGUCAGCAGUAAACAAGAAUUGUAUCGUUACCAGCUGGUGGCCCACAGAAUGAGAAAUAAAUUGAUAGUGUGAGUCCAGUUUCCAUGAAAUGAGGCAAAUACUGCAAAACCAGAACCAGAAGUGGAACUAACUGACACUGCUGCUGGCCCUACCUGGGUGCUGAGGAUAGAGUGGUGGAAACCUGACCAUGUCCCAGUAAGACAGGUGGUCCCAACAGGACUGUGGCAGAGGAACAUGCACGGUCCCUUUGCUGCCUGGUGGGCAAGGCAUCCUGCAUCCUGCAGACCCCAGGCUGCGACAUGGAGGGCCGCUUGCCUCCACCUCCCCUGGGCAUUGCACAUACCCAGACACCCAUGUCUGGCUGAUACUCAUGUUGUACAAGCAACAGCUUCUUAGUCCACCUUCCUUUAGUUAGAUGUCCUAUUGAAAUGAGAAAGCUUUAAAGUAUGAUGUGUGAGCUUGGGCUGAGGUAGCAGAUGAUGUUUAUUAUUAUUUUUAUUGGCUUCUUCUGGAUUUUCUGAUGUGAUUAAUUUAUCUAGCCAUAAUAUUUUAAAAGCACAAUCAAAUUUCAUUUUAAUUUGAAGCCAAAAUGCUCAGACUCAUAAUAUUUGAAGCUCAAAAAAUGAUGACUCUUUUUUAAAAUACCACAAGGGAUAUAUCAAUUGAGCUUAAUUACAUCAAAGAACAAUCCCAUAAGAGAGAGGGGAAAAAAAAAAAAAAAAAAGAAGAAGGAUCUGCCAGAAAUAAAAAGGCUGCAUGGGUCAGUGGUCUCUUGAUUGUAAGGUAUGUGUUACAAUACACAUGUGUAUGUAAACAUAUACAUGCUUGUACAUAAUCAUAUAUAAACCAGCAUACUUUAACACUUAGCUCCACAAAAUGAUCUUUUCAUAGGUAUUAGGAGAGCAUGAGGUGCUCUACAAAAGGAAUUGUGCUUGCUUGUUUUUACUUUUCUCAUAUGACAGGCCAAAUAUUGCCUUUCCUGAUGCUAAUAUCUGGAAAUCUGUUACACAAGUACGCUAGGGGGAAAAAAUUAAUAAAUGGGACUCAUUAAAGGUAUUGCCAGAGAAAACUUACUAGAUUUGGCCAGGACACUGAUUUAAUCAACAUUUUUUCUUAUUGAAAGCAAAUGUUCAAGUGUGGUGAAUUUGAAGUGGCUAACUGAGGAGUUUCAGAGCGGAAAAUAGAUCUGCAUAAACCUGCAUAUAUACACUAAAUCCUAAAUGGAAGAUAGCUCUGUCUGCAUAUUCUGGAGAAGAUCCUGGAGAAAGUAGAAAUAAGGAAAAAAGACAGAAUUAAAUGUUGAUGCCUCCAGAACGAUGCUCUCUGAAGAAUCAUAGAAUUGUUGAUGUUGGAAAAGGCCUCUGAGGUUGUCUAGUGCAACCAUCCACCUACGACUAAUAUUGUCCACUAAACCCUGUCCCUAAGUGAUGCAUCUACCCUUUCCUUACACACCUCUAGGGACGGUGACUCCAGCACUUUCCUGGGCAGCCUAUCCCAGUGCACUGCCACUCUUUCUGAGAAGAAAUUCUUACUAAUACCCAACCUGAAUGAAACAGCAGCUUCACCUUUUUGUUUUAUGGGCAGUUCUAUGGAAGUCUGGCUAAAUAGCAUGGAUGAAGCACCUUCUUCUAAUGCAUCAGUGCAGAAUGAAGUGAACACAGGUAGCCCAGUACAAGGCAGAGCUAAAUGAAUUCCUUGCCUCUCUGUGAGUGCAAUCUGCACCUUGAGUCAGCUGUGCCACCCUGUUACAAAGACUUUGUUGUAGUACAGGAGUCUUAAAAAUAGCCUUCACCUCCUGAACCCCCUUCUAGAAAUGCUCCUCCACUCAGCCACAAGCUGAAGCUAAUUUUCACACAUCUGCUGUAAUUUAAACCAUCUGUGUGGCUGCAAGUUAAGGACAGAGAAUUUGUGGCCCAUAUUCUUCCCAUCUGACACUGGGAAGCUUUUGUGUGCAUUGUCCAUAUGCCUGCAUUAGCUCUAUGGGUUUGGGUCCAGAUAGCCACACUAUUUCUCUUUCAAAAACACUGUUUUUUAAGAAUCCCUCAGUGAGGAAUACUCAUUACCAAGGUGCUUAGGAAGGAGCAAGUGGUGCCAAGCUGGCUCUAGCAGGGUUGCUGGCUACUGUGCACAAUUAGUUGUUAGGCACUGAAGAGCCCUGUCGCAGCUCUUGAUUACCUAGUGUGUUUUGAAAAAUCUCCUCAGCUCAUACCAGCUUUCACUCACUGUAGGUAAUUAAGUUAGAAAAAUAAACACAAGCAGGGCUGCUCUGGCUGCAAGGACUGCUGUGCUCAAUAUAAGCCCUCAGCUGCACAGAGCCAGAGGGAGCUGCUAACAGCACUGACAGCUCAGGGAAGUGAUUUAUGAAGCUUUUCUUUUGCGAAAAGUUGGCAUCUAGACAAUCUGUGCCCCUCCCGCUGCCUGCGUGCUCUUCUGGCAUGUGUAAAGCCCAAGCAUAUUCCAUAAACAGACCAUUAAGCCCAGAAACUCUUCUUAAAACAUAUGAUUAGAAACCAAAACAGCUCAAUCCACAUCCAUGUGAUAUUUGUAUGAAGGAUUACAAAAUGGCAGCAGAAUGACAAGACAUACCAUACUGCCCAGUACCAGAGUAACCAUUUGUCUACUGGGAUAAAAACCAGCGCUGAAGUUCUCCAGUGCUGAAUGUGUAUUGCUGAGCUGAAUGUGUAUUGCUGAUCUUGAGAAAUGUUCUCCUUUAUUGCAGCGUACUCUGCUCCCACUGCUGGUUUAAUCCCAAGGAGCUCCUGCUUUUGAUCUCCAUGUGCAUCUGUGGGCAUAGACUGAGUGCCCAGAUAACUCUGGGAAUGUGGGGAAAGAUGUCCCAUCAGACAGGGCCACACCAACAGAGCCUCACAGGCCCAGGCCUUGACAAAGAACACUGCACAAGCAUGUUUGUGAUGCUUCAAAGAGACAUAGAAUCAUAGAAUGGCCUGGGUUGAAAGGGAUCACAAUGAUCAUGUAGUUUCAACACCCCUGCUAUGUCCAGGGUCACCAACCACUAGACCAGGCUGCCCAGAGACACAUCCAGUCCGGCCUUUAAUGCCUCCAGGGAUGGGGCAUCCACAACCUCCUUGGGCAACCUGUUCCAGUGUGUCACCACCCUCUGAGUGAAAAACUUCCUCCUAAUAUCUAACCUAAACCUCCCCUGUCUCAGUUUAAAAUCAUUCCCCCUUGUCCUGUCACUAUCCACCCACGUAAACAGUCAUUCCCCCUCCUGUUUAUACGCUCCCUUCAAGUAUUGGAAGGCCACAAUGAGGUCUCCCUGGAACCUUCUUUUCUCUAAGCUAAACAAGCCCAGUUCCCUCAACCUUUCUUCAUAGAAGAGGUGCUCCAGCCCUCUAAUCAUCUUAGUGGCCCUCCUCUGGACCCACUCCAAGAGUUCCACAUCCUUCCUGUACUGGGGGCUCCAGGCCUGGACACAGUACUCCAGAUGGGGCCUCACAAGAGCUGAGUAGAGGGGCACAAUCACCUCCCUCCCCCUGCUGGCCACUCCUUUUUUAGUGCAGCCCAGGAUAUAGUUGGCCUUUCAGGCUGCAACCGCACAUUGCUGGCUCAAGUGUAGCUUCUCGUCCAUCAGGACCCCCAAGUCCUUCUCUGCAGGGCUGCUCUCAAGGAGAUCUUCC